GGCUGCAGUCGAGAAUCAUUGUCAAUGCACGAAAGUGUGAACAUGCGACGCCGCGUGGAGGAAGACGGCCUUCGGGUUGUAAACUCCUGUCAGCAGGAAGGAAUAAUCAGACGAUUAAUACUUGUUUGAUUUGACAGUACCUGCAGAGGAAGUCACGGCUAACUCUGUGCCAGCAGCCGCGGUAAUACAGAGGUGGCAAACGUUGUUCGGAUUUACUGGGCGUAAAGGGUCCGCAGGCGGUCUUGUGUGUCGGAUGUGAAAGCUCACGGCUCAACCGUGGAAUUGCAUUCGAAACUGCAAGACUAGAGUACUGGAGGGGAGAAGGGAACACUUGGUGUAGCGGUGAAAUGCGUAGAUAUCAAGUGGAACACCGGAGGCGAAGGCGCUUCUCUGGACAGAUACUGACGCUCAUGGACGAAAGUUAGGGUAGCGAAAGGGAUUAGAUACCCCUGUAGUCCUAACCGUAAACGGUGUGCGCUAGGCGUGGGUGGCUUUACCCCCAUCCGUGCCUGAGCUAACGCAUUAAGCGCACCGCCUGGGGAGUACGGUCGCAAGAUUAAAACUCAAAGGAAUUGACGGGGACCCGCACAAGCGGUGGAGCAUGCGGCUUAAUUCGAUGCAACGCGAAGAACCUUACCUGGGCUUGACAUAUAGCUGCAUACGACCCGAAAGGGACGUAGCCUUCGAGGGUGCUAUACAGGUGCUGCAUGGCUGUCGUCAGCUCGUGCCGUGAGGUGUUGGGUUAAGUCCCGCAACGAGCGCAACCCCUGUGAUUAGUUGCCAGCACGUAAUGGUGGGAACUCUAAUCAGACUGCUUGUGAAAACAAGAGGAAGGUGGGGAUGACGUCAAGUCAGUAUGGUCCUUAUGUCCAGGGCUGCACGCGUGCUACAAUGGGCAGUACAGUGGGAAGCAAUAUCGCGAGAUGGAGCAAAUCCUCAAAGCUGCCCCCAGUUCGGAUUGGAGUCUGAAACUCGACUCCAUGAAGUCGGAAUCGCUAGUAAAGGCGUAUCAGCUACGACGCCUUGAAUACGUUCCCGGGUCUUGUACACACCGCCCGUCACAUCAUGGAAGUCUGUUGCACCCGAAAUCGUUGAUCCAACCCGUCAAGGGAGGAAGGCGCCUAAGGUGUGAUAGGUAACUGGGAUG
rnacentral:rRNA from 1 species